ACUUACCAAACCGAUGCAAACUCCGAAUACCAAUGAGUACUAUCCGGGAGACAGACUGCGGGUGCUAACGUCCGUAGUCAAGAGGAAAACAAUCCAGACCGCCAGCUAAGGCCCCAAAAUUAUAGUUAAGUGGGAAACGAUGUGGGAAGGCAUAGACAGCUAGGAGGUUGGCUUAGAAGCAGCCAUCCUUUAAAGAAAGCGUAAUAGCUCACUAGUCGAGUCGGCCUGCGCGGAAGAUGUAACGGGGCUAAGCAAUAUACCGAAGCUGCGGACUUGCGC
rnacentral:rRNA from 1 species